CCAAAACUCCUCAAGUAUAAAAAGAAAAAACCGCCGUCGAGUCGUUGACAAAAUCGUCCGAUCUCGGUUGACAGUACUCGUUCACCAUUAAAUCCUUUAACAAGGACAUCUCGAGCACGUCUCUCUAAAAGAAAAAUCGUUGCUUUCUACGCCCUCACCACACCAGAUUCGAAUCCACUUUUAUCUUUCUUUUCUUUUUCUUUUCUUUUUUUUUUUCCCCUUAAAAAAGGAAAAAAAAAAAAAGAAAAAGAAGGGAACAGUCUCUGAGCGUGCUCUCUCUCUAUCUCUGUAUGUGAUCAGCGAGGACAUCACUGAUCGGAUCUACGUUCUUAUAAAUGAAACGGACCCGAUCACCAUGCCUCGGAGUCUGUUUCCCGAUUCCUUGAAAGUGAACGUUGCAGGCCCCACCAAAUUUGAGGAAAAUCCCCUCUUCACUUGGUUCAAUUCCUUAGGGUUUUGUUUUCGCAUUUGGAAAUGCUUUUUGGGUUCUUGAGAAGUAGUUAUAUGCGGAGAAUGCGUUCCAUUUCAGUCGCUGGUUCUUUUUGGAUGAUUUGAUCGGGUUUCGGACUUGAUAAUUUCAACUCUAGAGACAAUGGCUGCCUCACCUGUGAAAUUCCUCUUCGGAUUCUUGAUGGUUUCCAUCACAUUGUGGAUGGUCUUCAUAUUUGCUUCUAGGUUGCUGGCUUGGAUUUUGAGCCGAAUUGUUGGAGCAUCUAUUGGAUUUCGGGUUGGAGGAUGGAAAUGUUUAAGGGAUGUCGUAGUGAAGUUUAAGAAGGGUGCUGUUGAAUCUAUAGCUGUUGGUGAAAUUAGACUAAGUGUACGCCAAUCCUUGGUCAAACUUGGGGCUGGUUUCUUUUCCAGGGAUCCAAAGCUGCAAGUUUUAAUAUGUGACCUGGAAGUUGUAAUGAGGUCUUCUAGCAAAGGCAUGCAGAAAAAUAAAACUCGAAAAGCUCGAACUUGCAAUUCAGGCCGGGGAAAGUGGAUGGUCUUAGCUAACAUAGCAAGAUUUUUGUCAGUUUCUGUUACAGAUUUGGUCGUAAAGACACCCAAGGCUAUGAUUGAAGUUAAGGAAUUGAGAUUGGAUAUAACGAAAGAUGGUGGAUCCAAGCCAAAUCUACUUUUUAAGCUACACAUAUUACCAAUUGUUAUUCACAUGGGUGAACCACGUGUUAAUUGUGACCAAUUAUCCAAUUUGGAUGGUGGGGCAUGCAUUUCUACAGGCGAGACAUCAUUUGGUGUGAGGGAAGGGCCCUAUGCUUCCUUCACCUGUGAAGAGUUUUCUCUCUCUUGUGAAUUUGGUCAUGAUAGGGAGGUAGGUGUAAUUAUCUGCAAUUUGGACAUUAACUGUGGUGAGGUCUUUGUGCACCUGAAUGAGAAGCUGCUUUCAAAAAAUAAGAUUUCAGAUGCUUCUCAGACAGAUAAAACAGUAGUCAAUUCUGCUGUUGUUAAAGAUCUGCAAAGAAAACAAUCAACACUGGUUGCAUUUAUAAAGUAUACCUCUAUGUUUCCUCAAAAGGUUAGCUUUGCUUUACCAAAAUUGGAUGUGAGGUUUUUUCAUCAGGAAUAUGGUCUUGUUAUUGAGAAUAAUAUCAUGGGCAUUAAGUUGAAGAGCAUCAAAUCCCAAUGCACUGAAGAAAUGGGAGAGAGUACUCGUCUUGAUGUUCAAAUGGAUUUCAGUGAGAUACAUCUUCUCAGAGAAGCUGGCACUUCUGUUAUGGAGAUAUUGAAAGUUGUUGUCGUCUCUUUUGUUUAUGUUCCAAUGGAGCCAACCUCACCGGUUAGAGCUGAAAUAGAUGUUAAGUUGGGAGGUACCCAGUGCAACAUUAUAAUGAGUAGGUUAAAGCCAUGGUUGCAAGUCCACUACUCAAAAAAGAAAAAAAUGGUUCUCCGAGAGGAAAUUCAUGCUCCUGUAAAAUCACAAUCAACUGCAUCCAAAGCCAUCAUGUGGACAUGUACUGUUUCAGCUCCUGAGAUGACAAUUGUUCUUUAUAGUAUCAAUGGGUUGCCUCUAUAUCAUUUAUGCUCGCAAUCAUCACAUGUUUUUGCAAAUAAUAUAUCAAGCAUGGGCACCACGAUACAUUUGGAGCUCGGUGAGCUGAACUUCCACAUGGCAGAUGAAUAUCAAGAAUGCUUGAAAGAAAGCCCUUUUGUUGUUGAAUCAAAUUCAGGUGCUUUAAUUCAUAUAGCAAGGGUUAGUUUAGAUUGGGGAAAAAAAGAUAGUGAAUCGUCUGAAGAAGAUGGUGCUAGAUGUAAAUUAGCUCUCUCCAUUGACGUCACUGGUAUGGGUAUUUAUUUUAACUUUAAACGUGUAGAAUCACUAGUAGUAACUGCCAUUUCCUUUCAGUCUCUCCUGAAAAGUCUAUCCAGUUCUGGCAAAAAAACAACAGAGAGCCAAAGUGGGAGAUCCUCUAAGCCAUCAGGAAAGGGGAUUCAAGUAUUGAAAUUUAAUUUGGAACGAUGUACUGUAAAUUUUUGUGGUGAAACAAGUUUGGAAAAUGCUGUUGUUGCUGAUCCAAAGCGUGUCAAUUAUGGAUCACAGGGUGGUCGAGUUGUAAUUAGUGUCUCAGAUGAUGGCAUGCCACGUACUGCAAGUGUGAUAUCCACAGUUUCUGAUGAUUGCAAGAAUUUGAACUAUUCGCUUUCUCUUGACAUAUUCCAUUUCACUUUGUGUGUGAACAAGGAGAACCAAACUACAGAGAUGGAACUUGAAAGAGCAAGGUCUAUUUAUCAGGAACAUUUGGAGGAACAUAGACCUGAUACAAAAGUAAAAUUGUUUGAAAUGCAGAAUGCAAAAUUUGUACGGCGCUCUGGUGGUCUUAAAGGGAUUGCUAUUUGCUCUCUUUUCAGUGCUACUGAAAUUGCUGUCAGGUGGGAGCCUGAUGCACAUUUAUCAUUGAUUGAACUGAUUCUGCAACUGAAGUUACUGGUACACAAGCAAAAGCUUCAGGAAAAUGGUACUGAACGUAGGGAAGAAGCCUCAAGCAUGAGACAUACUGAAUCAGGAAAUUUUGACAAGUCUAAGAAAAAGGAAAACAUUUUUGCUGUCGAUGUAGAAAUGCUGAAUAUAUCAGCUGGAGUUGGAGAUGGAGUUGAUGGAGUGGUGCAGCUUCAGUCAAUUUUUUCAGAGAAUGCCCGUAUAGGAGUACUUCUUGAAGGACUUAUGCUCAGUUUUAAUGGGGCCAGAGUAUUCAAGAGUGGUAGAAUGCAAAUUUCUCGCAUACCUAGUGCUUCUAGCAUUUCAUCUGAUUCAAAACUACCCUCAGCUAUCACAUGGGACUGGGUGAUUCAAGGGCUUGAUGUUCAUAUUAGAAUGCCAUACAGGUUGGAGUUGCGUGCCAUUGAUGAUUCAGUUGAAGAUAUGCUGCGGGCUUUGAAACUUGUUGCUGCUGCUAAAACACAACUCAUAUUUCCGAUGAAGAAAGAAAGCUCAAAGCCUAAAAAGUCUAGUUCAAUGAAAUUUGGAUGUGUGAAGUUUUGUAUACGUAAGCUAAUUGCUGAUAUUGAGGAAGAACCAAUCCAGGGUUGGCUUGAUGAGCACUACCAGCUGAUGAAGAGCGAGGCCUGUGAGCUGGCUGUCCGUCAGAAGUUUCUUGAUGAAUUUAUUUCCAAAUUUAGUAAUUGUUCUAAAACUGCGGAAACAAAUGAGUCUGCCACUGAAAGAAAAUUUAAUUAUAAUGGGGUUCAGAUUGAUGUACAAGAUCCUUCUGCAAUUCAGAAAAUGCAAGAAGAAAUUUACAAGCAAUCUUUUAGAUCAUAUUACCAGGCGUGCCAGAAGUUAGUACCUUCUGAAGGUUCAGGUGCCUGUAGGGAAGGGUUUCAAUCUGGUUUUAGGCCUAGCACUUCAAGGACAUCUCUUCUUUCCAUUUCUGCUAGAGAGCUGGAUGUGAGCUUGACAAGGAUUGAUGGUGGAGAUGAUGGGAUGAUAGAGGUUCUGAAAAAGCUGGAUCCUGUCUGUCGUGAAGAGGAGAUACCAUUUUCCAGACUCUAUGGGAGUAACAUUCUAUUGUGUGCUAGCAGUCUUGUUAUUCAGCUAAGAAAUUACACGUUUCCUCUUUUUGCUGCUACUGCUGGUAAAUGUGAAGGCCGUGUUGUGCUAGCACAGCAGGCAACUUGCUUUCAGCCCCAAAUUUACCAAGAUGUCUUCAUUGGGAGGUGGAGAAAGGUGCGCUUACUCCGUUCAGCUACUGGCACAACUCCUCCAACAAAAUCAUACUUCGAUUUGCCUCUGUUUUUUCAGAAAGCUGAAGUAUCAUAUGGAGUCGGAUAUGAGCCGUCUUUUGCUGAUGUGAGCUAUGCUUUUACAGUUGCUCUUCGUAGGGCAAAUCUUAGUGUCAGAAAUCCUGGUCCUCUAGUUCAGCCACCAAAAAAGGAGCGCAGUUUACCAUGGUGGGAUGAUAUGAGAAAUUAUAUUCAUGGAAAUAUCACCUUAGGAUAUUCUAAAAGUAUAUGGCAUAUUCUUGCAACAACUGAUCCUUAUGAAAGGCUUGACAAGCUUCAAAUUACAUCUGGUUCCAUGGAGAUCCAGCAGUCAGAUGGCCGUAUUUAUAUUUCUGCAAAAGAUUUUAAGAUUUUCUUGAGCAGUUUGGAGAGGUUGGCAAAUAACUGUGGCUUAAAACUUCCUACUGGUGUGUAUGGUGCUUUCCUUGAAGCCCCAGUCUUUAUUCUUGAAGUCACAAUGGAUUGGGACUGUGAUUCUGGCACUCCAUUGAAUCAUUACCUAUUUGCACUCCCCAAUGAAGGGAAGCCUCGUGAAAAAGUUUUUGAUCCCUUCAGGUCUACAUCUCUCUCACUUCGGUGGAAUUUCUCUCUACGACCCUCUGUUCCCUCAUGUGAGAAUCAAUCCUCUUCUUCCUACAUGAGUGAUAGCACUGUGUAUAAUCCACCUCACAAGCCUGGAAAUGUUUCAAUUGUUCCAACAGUAUUGAAUGUCGGUGCCCAUGAUUUUGCAUGGUUAAUUAAAUUUUGGAAUUUGAAUUAUGUUCCUCCUCACAAAUUACGCUAUUUCUCCCGGUGGCCUCGUUUUGGAGUUCCCCGAAUUCCCAGAUCAGGCAAUUUGUCACUGGAUAGAGUAAUGACAGAAUUUUUCCUUCGCAUAGAUGCUACACCUGCUCGUAUAAAACAUAUGCCACUAGAUGAUGAUGAUCCAGCAAAAGGACUUACUUUUAAUAUGACAAAGUUGAAAUAUGAAAUCUGUUUCAGUCGGGGUAAGCAGAAGUACAAUUUUGAAUGCAAGCGAGACACUCUUGAUCUUGUUUACCAGGGUGUGGACCUUCACAUGCCUAAGGCCAUCUUAGAUAAAGAAGAUUCUACCAGUGUUGCAAAAGUAGUUCAAAUGACAAAGAAAAAUUGCCAGCCUUCAGGUAUGGAAAGAGUUCCCAGUGAAAAACACAACAAUAUCAGUGCUUGCACUGAGAAGCAUCGGGAUGAGGGAUUUCUUUUAUCAUGUGAUUAUUUUACAAUCAGAAGGCAGGCACCAAAGGCUGAACCUGCAAGGUUAUUGACGUGGCAAGAGGCUGGGAGAAGAAAUCUUGAGAUGACAUAUGUGAGGUCUGAGUUCGAAAAUGGGAGUGAGAGUGAUGAUCACACAAGAUCUGACCCAAGUGAUGAUGAUGGAUACAAUGUGGUAAUUGCUGACAAUUGUCAGAGAGUUUUUGUUUAUGGUCUCAAGCUUUUAUGGAAUAUAGAGAAUAGGGAUGCUGUUUGGUCCUGGGUUGGUGGAUUAUCCAAAGCAUUUGCACCUCCCAAGCCUUCUCCUUCUCGGCAGUAUGCACAGAGGAAGUUACUUGAGGAGAAACAAUCACAUGCUGAAAUUAAAGUGAACCAAGAUGAUAUAUCUAAACCCCCUUCUACCAGCUAUAAUGUUGAUUUCCCUUCUCGAAAUACAGAGACUUCAGGAUCUCUCUCAUCUCCAUCACAUUCAACUAAAAUGGAGAAUUCAUCUUCUGCUGUUGCUGUAUUUCCAGCAACAAAUGGAAGCAUAGAUGAUUCUGAGGAGGAAGGAACUCGCCAUUUCAUGGUGAAUGUUAUUGAGCCUCAAUUCAAUCUGCAUUCAGAAGAAGCCAAUGGUAGAUUCCUGCUUGCUGCUGUUAGUGGGCGUGUUUUAGCCCGAUCAUUUCACUCUGUCCUUCAUGUUGGUUAUGAGAUGAUCGAACAAGCACUGGGCAGUGGAGAUGUACAACUUUCUGACUCUGUACCUGAAAUGACAUGGAAGCGCAUGGAGUUCUCUGUGAUGUUGGAGCAUGUGCAGGCUCAUGUUGCACCAACAGAUGUUGAUCCUGGAGCUGGACUGCAGUGGCUCCCAAAAAUUCGAAGAAGCUCCCCUAAAGUAAAACGCACUGGUGCUCUACUUGAAAGAGUGUUUAUGCCUUGUGAUAUGUACUUCCGGUAUACAAGACACAAAGGCGGGACUCCUGACCUGAAGGUGAAGCCCCUGAAAGAGCUCACUUUCAAUACACGUAAUAUAACAGCAACAAUGACAUCUCGCCAGUUUCAGGUUAUGCUGGACGUGUUGACCAAUCUCCUUUUUGCACGGCUUCCCAAACCUCGAAAGAGUAGUCUGUCAUUUCCAGCUGAAGACGAUGAGGAUGUUGAAGAGGAGGCUGAUGAGAUGGUGCCUGAUGGUGUGGAAGAGGUAGAACUUGCUAAAAUUGAACUUGAACAGAAAGAACGGGAGCAGAAGUUGCUUCUUGAUGACAUAAGGAGAUUGUCUCUUAAUGGUGAUGCUUCUGGGGACCUGUCAAGAAAGGAAAGUGAAUUGUGGAUGAUCACUGGGGGAAGAUCCAAUCUGGUCCAAGGGCUGAAGAGAGAGCUUGUAAAUGCAAAAAAGUUUAGGAAGGCAGCAUCUGGAUCAUUAAGGCUGGCUUUGCAGAAAGCUGCACAGCUACGUCUGAUGGAGAAGGAGAAGAACAAAAGUCCAUCCUAUGCAAUGCGCAUAUCUUUGCAAAUCAACAAAGUUGUCUGGAGCAUGCUUGUAGAUGGUAAAUCUUUUGCUGAGGCUGAGAUAAAUGACAUGAUCUUUGAUUUUGACCGGGAUUAUAAGGAUGUUGGUGUUGCUCUAUUUACAACAAAAUAUUUUGUUGUGAGAAACUGCCUGCCAAAUGCCAAGUCUGAUAUGGUUCUAUCAGCAUGGAAUCCACCACCAGAUUGGGGAAAAAAAGUCAUGCUUCGGGUAGAUGCAAAGCAAGGAGCUCCAAGGGAUGGAAAUUCCCAUAUUGAACUCUUCCAGGUAGAGAUUUAUCCCCUUAAGAUUCAUUUGACAGAGACGAUGUACAGGAUGAUGUGGGAGUAUUUCUUUCCAGAAGAAGAACAAGAUUCACAAAGGCGGCAGGAAGUUUGGAAAGUUUCAACUACUGCUGGUGCAAAACGUGUAAAGAAAGGUUCAUCAACCCAGGAUGCUUGUUCAUCAUACAGCCAUGCAACAAAAGAUUCUGAUGGCACAUCCAAACCCAUCGUUGGUUCAGGCCAAGAUUUGAGAAGAACAUCUUCUUUUGACAGAUCAUGGGAAGAGACACUUGCAGAAUCUGUUGCUGCUGAACUUGUCUUGCAGGCUCAUUCAUCUAGUAUGUCUUCUUCAAAAGCUGACCCACUUGGCUGUAAUGAACAACCAGAUGAAUCCUCUAAAAGUAAAGCAAAAGAGUCCAAGCUUGUGAAGUCUGGUCGUUCAUCUCAUGAAGGCAAAAAGAUUGGGAAGUCAAAUGAAGAGAAGAGGUCCCGACCUCGAAAAGUAAUGGAGUUUCACAAUAUAAAGAUAAGUCAGGUCGAGCUACAAAUUACUUAUGAAAGCUCGAGGUUUAAUCUGCAUGAGCUUAAGUUGCUAAUGGAUACGUUCCAUCGUGUUGAGUUCACUGGGACUUGGAGGAGGCUGUUCUCACGAGUAAAGAAGCAUGUUGUAUGGGGAACACUUAAGUCAGUGACAGGAAUGCAGGGCAAGAAAUUCAAAGAUAAAGCACAUAGUCAACGGGAAUCCAAUGGAGCUGGUGUUCCUGAUAUUGAGCUUAACUUUAGCGACAAUGAUGGUCAGCCAGGGAAAUCAGAUCAGUAUCCAAACUGGCUUAAGCGUCCAAGUGAUGGAGCAGGUGAUGGAUUUGUAACUUCCAUAAGGGGUCUUUUCAAUACUCAACGCCGCAAGGCCAAGGCAUUUGUGCUGCGAACUAUGAGGGGUGAAGCAGAGAAUGAUUUCCAUGGGGAAUGGAGUGAAAGUGAUGCUGAGUUCUCUCCCUUUGCUAGGCAACUUACAAUAACAAAAGCUAAGAAGCUUAUCAGGCGGCACACAAAGAAAUUCCGCUCGAGAGGACAGAAAGGUUCGUCCUCUGUACAAAGAGAUUCACUUCCUUCAUCUCCAAGGGAAACAACUCCAUUUGAGCCAUUUGAAAGCGAUUCAUCUAGUGAAUCUUCGCCGUAUGAGGAUUUUCACGAGCAACUCGAAUUCCAGUCACUUAAAGGGGACUAAGGCUUUCAGACACGAUCCAUAUUGGCUGAGUCGAUCAGGGGUAGUUAUGGAAUUUGUUUCUCAGCCACCACCUGUGAUGGAUGCUUUGGAAUUAAAACGCGCGGAGGCAUCCUAUGAAAGAGCGUGUUAAAGGAACACAUGGAUCAAGAGUUGGAGCAUGAGUAAGCUUUCAAAAGGCAUCCCAGGAUGAAUCCAUUCCACAGGGCCCCUAGUCUUUCGGGAAGGUUUGCAGGAUCAAAGUUAGCUCGGGAAGUCGAUUGAGUUGCUGGUAUAGCUUAUUGUAAUAGUAUAGCUAUGGACAUGUAUUAAUUUGUCGAUUACAAUUGUGCUUCCCUGCUUCAUGAUCCUUUUAUGUAAAAAUUUUUAAGUAUAAGUUAUAUUUGAAUCGAGCUUGAAGCAUGUUAUGUUGAUCA